rnacentral:rRNA from 1 species
GACGAACGCUGGCGGCGUGCUUAACACAUGCAAGUCGAACGGAAAGGCCCUGCUUUUGUGGGGUGCUCGAGUGGCGAACGGGUGAGUAACACGUGAGUAACCUGCCCUUGACUUUGGGAUAAGUUCAGGAAACUGGGGCUAAUACCGGAUAGGAGCUCCUGCUGCGUGGUGGGGGUUGGAAAGUUUCGGCGGUUGGGGAUGGACUCGCGGCUUAUCAGCUUGUUGGUGGGGUAGUGGCUUACCAAGGCUUUGACGGGUAGCCGGCCUGAGAGGGUGACCGGCCACAUUGGGCCUGAGAUACGGCCCAGACUCCUACGGGAGGCAGCAGUGGAGAAUAUUGCACAAUGGGCGGAAGCCUGAUGCAGCAACGCCGCGUGCGGGAUGACGGCCUUCGGGUUGUAAACCGCUUUCGCCUGUGACGAAGCGUGAGUGACGGUAAUGGGUAAAGAAGCACCGGCUAACUACGUG